rnacentral:rRNA from 1 species
UCACGAAAGUGGAUUGUACUAGAAGUCUGCAGGCUGACCCGCAAGGGAGGCAGCGGCCCAAGGUAUGAUCCAUGAUUGGGUG